rnacentral:tRNA from 1 species
GGCUCCGUAGCUCAGUUGGUUUUGUAGAGCGGCUGGCUUUUAACCAGUGUGUCACAGGUUCGAUCCCUGUCGGAGCUA